GUAUCAUGAGCAGCACACAUACUAAAAUUGGAAUGAUUCCGAGAAGAUUAGCACGGCCCCUGCUCAAGAUGCCACUACACUCGGGUCACCUCAAACGCUGUCU